AUUCCAGCUCCAAUAGCGUAUAUUAAAGUUGUUGCAGUUAAAAAGCUCGUAGUUGGAUGUGUGUUGGUAAUUGCAUUCCUCUUUUGGUUUGCUACUGUCCGACAUCUGUAGGGGGAAUUCGUGUGGCAUUAGGUUGUCAUGCGGGGGAUCCCUAUCAUUUACUGUGAAAAAAUCAGCGCGUUCAAAGCAGGCUUAUGCCGUGAAUGUAUUAGCAUGGAAUAAUAAGAUAGGACUUUGGUACUAUUUUGUUGGUUUGCGCACCAAGGUAAUGAUUAAUAGGGACGGUCGGGGGUAUUCGUAUUCCAUUGUCAGAGGUGAAAUUCUUGGAUUUCUGGAAGACGCACUACUGCGAAAGCAUUUACCAAGGAUGUUUUCAUUAAUCAAGAACGAAAGUUAGGGGAUCGAAGAUGAUUAGAUACCAUCGU
rnacentral:rRNA from 1 species